AGCAAAAGCAAUUCCCAUAGUAAGCGACGAAAUGCUUCCGGGAGUUGAAAAUAAACGUAGAUCCGGAGAUUCCCGAAU